CAGCAGCCACGGGAAUACGUAGGGUGCGAGCGUUAAUCGGAAUUACUGAGCGUAAAGCGUGCGCAGGCGGUUUUGUAAGACAGGCGUGAAAUCCCCGGGCUCAACCUGGGAAUGGCGCUUGUGACUGCAAAGCUAGAGUGCGGCAGAGGGGGAUGGAAUUCCGCGUGAAGCAGUGAAAUGCGUAGAUAUGCGGAGGAACACCGAUGGCGAAAGCACUCUGCUGGGCCGACACUGACACUGAGAGACGAAAGCUAGGGGAGCAAAUGGGAUUAGAUACCCCUGUAGUCCCUGUCUCUUAUAC
rnacentral:rRNA from 1 species